GCUCCGAGCCUGUGUGUGCAGCCGCAAAGCCUGUGUGCACACGGCGCAACAAGCGACCGUCGUCCGCGGCACAGGGAGCUUCCCAAGCUGGUGGUGCCCCCCUCUCGGUGAGACUGCUUUCUCCACUCAGAAUAAAUAGGGUGUGCUGCAAAAAAAUGUUUUUUUUUGAGUGGCUUGUCCUCGCGAUCUUCGCUUAUUGCCCGAGCUUCGGGUCUGCAGCAGCUGGAGAUGAGAAUCGCGCACCCUGGGUCCUAGCGCCGGAUGAAGCCCUACAGUACGGUGGCUCUUAUGUUGGACAGUGGAUGAAGUGCACAUUACUGCUUUUUGGAGGCACACAAUCUGUCAAGGACAAACAAAGGUAUUGGCUUGCGGCAUACGUCCUAUCCACGUUGUGCCUGGUGGCCCCCACAGGCUGCAUCCACGGUGCCCUGUCAAUGGCUGUAGCUCUCGGUUCGUUUCAUGUUCUCCAACUAGCGGUCUCCCUCUCUUUCUCUGCUGUUCGCCUACAGUACAGGUGGUCUUGGGCCUCCCACGCCAUCUCUUCCCCUCAGGCAAGCCUCUUUCCUCAAGCGAUGCCCAAUAAACUUCCAUCUAAAAUGUAUACAAUACUUUUCAACAAGAGAGGAGAAAUAUGAUCUCAGGGAAAAACUAAACUUAAAACACUUAUACGCUAAAAACAUAAAGCAUUUUAGUAUGUGGAAUCAAACUAUGGAACAGAUUGAGUAAGGAACUCAAACAAAGCACCAAAAUGAGCAAUUUCAAGAAACAAUACAAGCAGUUGAUGCA